rnacentral:rRNA from 1 species
AGUGAACGCUGGCGGCGUGCCUAAUACAUGCAAGUCGAACGGAGUGGCGCACGGGUGAGUAAUAUAUAGCUAAUCUUCCCCUUGCUGGAGGACAACAGUUAGAAAUGGCUGCUAAUACCCCAUAGCAAGGGAUGAGACUAUAUCGUAUCAGCUAGUCGGUGGGGUAACGGCCUACCGAGGCUAUGACGCGUAACUGGUCUGAGAGGAUGAUCAGCAAAAUUGGACGUGAGACACGGUUCAGACUCCUACGGGAGGCAGCAGUAGGGAAUAGUGCGCAAGGGGCGAGAGCCUGACGCAGCAACGCCGCGUGGAGGAUGACAAUUUUCGGAGCGUAAACUCCUUUUGUUAGGGAAGCGUUACCUAACGAAUAAGCACCGGCUAACUCCGUGCCAGCAGCCGCGGUAAUUC